CUCAUAUGGCAGGCUCACUCUCACCCAGAAAUAUUACAUUAAUUUAACAUAAAAUAAACCAUCUGUACAUGAAUACAACUCAGAAUGGAGCGAGGACUCAUCUGGAUGAAGUAUUUCUGACUGUAUGAAGGUAAAAGGUGUGUGUGAGCUGAUGUGAAUCCAGCAGCAUGGAUCAGUGUGAGGACAGAGAGGAGGGAGUCCUUCCCUCCAAAACCUCCCCGAGGGGAAAACCUGAGAGAGAAGAAGAGAGGAGACCUGGACCUGGACCUGGACCUGGACCUGGACCUGGACCUGGACCUGGACCUGGACCUGGACCUGAACCUGGACCUGGACCUGGACCUGGACCUGGACCUGGUCC